rnacentral:tRNA from 1 species
AUUUCUAAAGUGGCAGAAUAGUGCAAUGGAUUUAAGCUCCAAAUAUAAAG